UGGGGAAUAUUGCACAAUGGGGGAAACCCUGAUGCAGCGACGUCGCGUGAGCGAAGAAGUAUUUCGGUAUGUAAAGCUCUAUCAGCAGGGAAGAAAAUGACGGUACCUGACUAAGAAGCCCCGGCUAACUACGUGCCAGCAGCCGCGGUAAUACGUAGGGGGCAAGCGUUAUCCGGAUUUACUGGGUGUAAAGGGAGCGUAGACGGCUUUGCAAGUCUGAUGUGAAAGGCGGGGGCUCAACCCCUGGACUGCAUUGGAAACUGUAGGGCUUGAGUGCCGGAGAGGUAAGCGGAAUUCCUAGUGUAGCGGUGAAAUGCGUAGAUAUUAGGAGGAACACCAGUGGCGAAGGCGGCUUACUGGACGGUAACUGACGUUGAGGCUCGAAAGCGUGGGGAGCAAACAGGAUUAGAUACCCUGGUAGU
rnacentral:rRNA from 1 species